AGUGGCUGGGCACUUGUUUUCCUUUAGGGAUAUGAGCCUUGGUGGCUGAUUUUGAAAAGGAGUUACUCCAGGGAACCAGUGACAUCAGUGAACAGAAAAGCAGGCCUGCUGCAAGGCUGCCUUGCUGCGAGUGUUUGUUUUCUGCAGCUCCCUUACGCGUAACUAUGAAGAGAAAUUGUGAAAAUGAAAACAGUUUUAGAAGACAGGUGUCAAAAUGGAAUUUUCUGUGCUUUCCUUUACUUCUCCCUUCAGUGAAGGCUGGAAAUGACCAUCAACACCAGAAUUAAGAGUAAUUUACAACUGGAAUUGCAGCAGUCAAGUUCUUAAUGCACUACACUAGAAAUGGGCUUCCUAGAUGCAAAGAGCAAGAAACGGCAAAGGAAGUCCUGUACAAGCAUACAGUGUGUGCUAAGCUCCUACAUUUUUAUAAACUGGCAGGCUGCCUCAUCAGCCAGAAUUUCACGAAGAUGGGAGGAAUAUAUGAUAGCUCUUCUUUGAUAAGCCUUCCUAAGGUUGUGAAAAACAAACAAAAAACAAAAACAUCCCACCCAGACUACUGGUGCAGAACUUAAUGAACUUAAUUCUUGACUGCCAAGAGUGAAGAGCAAAGAGACUUUGCUGCUUCGUGGAUCAGCUCUGUUCAAAGGUGACAGUGUUAUCGAUGUGUUAGCCCCUUCAGGGGCUGUCUGCAAGAACACCUGGUGCAAGGUAUGCUUGAUUCAGCAUGAAGUCUAGUGGGGAAUUAUUUUAUCUACAAAAGAGAGAUAAAAAGAACUAUUUCAUUCCAUCAUGUCAAUGCAUUUUUUGAGAAGAUGACUUCAACUUUUAGAGGAAUUUAGCUUACACUACAACAUUGUUGUGUCUUUCAGCUCAUACAUAUACAGCUUUCAUACAUUCACUGUAUGAAUACAAACAUUAAAGAUAUGAGAAAUUCAAUGCAGUGGUGGAAGAUCUUUAAUCAGCAACAAAAUCACAUAAAGCAAAUUAUAUUAAGUAAAACUUAUGUGUAGUUAAUCUGUGCCCAGCAAUAGCUUAGAAAGUGAGAAAACAACCUUUUCAGAACAGAAUACUUUGGAGGUAGAGCAAGAUGCAUCAGUUAAAGUUUUGACACCAGCAUUAAAAUAUUGAUUCAUAAAGCCUAAACCAUGUCUGUUUUUAUAAACAGUGUGGGUAUAAAACUGGAGAGAUGAGUAAGAUACCUCCAGUUAAACUGCCAUUGCACAUGAAAUAGUUGCUGUCACACUGUAAGACCAAAGGUUUAUGUGUUCCUUUUUGUAAUAUACAAUGCACAGACUAGAGAACUUCGGACUGGUGCAGUUGUUUUCAAUUAGUGUUUCUCCUUUACACUUUGUGGCUAAUGUUUUCCUAUUAUCAAGGUCUUGCAUAUUUUCAGCACCCACCCAACUCUGUGGUAUUAUAUGUAAUUUUUUUAAAGGUCUGAGUGACAAGUACAUUGAUAUAAGUGAAUCAUCAUUUUGCAGGCAUAACAUUUUAUCAGAUUGGUUUUCAAGUAGAUUUAUGUAUUUGAGAGUCUGCAUCUGCCAUACAAGAUUAGUGCAUGGAAGAUAGGACAUUUGUUGCAACAGUGAGCGACAGAAUUUUAUAUUUUAAACAUGUGAAGCAAACUUGAUAGUAAAUUAGCAUCAUGUUAAGUAGUUCCUGUUUAUCAGAUAUAGUAACUAGAGCUGAACGAAAAGGAUAUUAUUGUGUAAGAUCAGGACAAGUUUCCAUUCCCCACUAAUGUCACUGCUUUACAUUCCAGGAUGAACAAAAUAUCCUAGGGUGGUAACCACAUGACCAAACAAGAAAAGUAAAAUAAAAGAACAGCUGAAGUACAAUAUUUCC